GAUCCAGACUUGGUUGCUCCUGCUUGUGAAACUAUCUCCUCGGCCCAUGAUUGUUUUAAAUGAUGCAGAUUCUUGCCGGAUAAAUAACAGAGAGAGGAGAAGAGGCAGAAUAAGAUGCUGUGGGCUGUACCGCUCGGGUAAAGCCAGGACAACUCAUUGCUGAAGGAGUGAUGGGUUGGGAGGAAAACACGUGCUUGCCUUCCCAGUGGGAUGGGGAAUUCCAAGGCUCAGGCCCACCCACUGGGCCAGGUGGCCACUAGAGAAAAGAUGGCCAGAAGGGAACUCCUUGGAUAAAGGUGGGGCCGUGAAAAAUGGGAACACUCCCAAAUUCUGGAGAGGGUGAGGUCAUCCCAGCUGAAGGCAAUCAAAACCCCUCCUUAGGCAGGCAGUGAAGGGUUUACCAGGCCAGGAGCCGUGAAUACUUCCAGCAGCUGCCAAGAAAAAAGGGAUCUUAGCGGAGACCUUGAGCCCUGGAGGCCCCACCCUGGCAGGAGAAAGAAACUAGGCCAGCAAGGAGACCUAGAGCCUAUUUUACAGAUGGGACUGAACCUGUUUGUGUGUGGUCUGCCACUGAGCCUCACUCCCAGUCUCCACGCUGCAGAGGAGAAACGGACAUCGCCAAUGUGUCCGAGGUCACACAGCUCCUAGGUAGGGAGCCUGUGCUGGAAGUCCGGUCAUGUGACCUCAAAGCUGGCCGCCUUGUACUACGUGACACUUCUGAUGAGCGUGUUCUACUGGUUGUUCAUUCCUCAAGGCCCGUCAGGAAUGAAAGCGACCCAGUGCUCAAGCAUGCGGAGGGCCGGGGGGGGGGGGGUGCACGCCUUUAAUCCCAGCACUUGGGAGGUAGAGGCAGGUGGAUCUCUGUGGUUUCAGUCUCCAGCCACGCGGCUUUUCUGAUCUUCAUCUUGAAGCUUGUACCCCAGUAUCAGUCUCUGGGGUUUUAUUAUUUGUACUUCGACGUAGGCUAAGUUCCUUAACAAUCUAACUCCUACUCUUGAACCCGUGAACGAAUCCCAAGCAAUAAUUGAGUGGUUAAUCCUGUGGGCCACUGUUAAUCCCAUCAGUCCUUCCUAACCUGUACGGGGCGGUUUCUGAGAGGCCUCUAUGUAGACCCCUGUCCUCUCAUUGCAACUUUCUCCGCAUGGCCCUCUUUUCUGGAGGGAAAUGGAUCCGUUGCCCGUUCCUCCUUUUAUAAUGACACCAGUCUUGUUGGAUCGCAGCUCUUCCUGUUAGUUACUUCUUUACAUACCCAUUACCUCCUCAAAGGUCAUGUCUCCAAAUAUGGUCACAUUGGGGGUUAUGGAUUCUGCAUGCAAUUUUGAGGAGGUAUAACAAACUAUCCCCAAGUGUAGUAGCUAAAGACUACUGGGGGCUGCUAACAUCACAGAGGCAGAGCAGAUGCUUGAACUGAAGACAACUCUAACAAUAGCAGGGGGGGAGCCGAACAGUGGUGGUGGUGGAGGAGGAGCUGAACCAGAAGGAGCCAAUGAAAGGUAGGAGGCAGCAUGCCUCCCACCAUGCCACCCACCAUGACAAAAGGGACAAUGACCACCAGAGCCAAGUGCAGCAGCAAGUCUUUGUGUUUAGCCAACACUGGAGACUGAGUCCAGGGUCUCCAUCAUGCUAGGUUCUAUUCUGAAAUAGAAUCUUGCUAAGUAUCCCAGGCUGGCCUUGAACUUCCAACUCUCCUGCCUCCACAUAUUAUAGAAUAUCCUUCCUGAAUGGCACAUAUUAGAGAAAUGCUACACCAUGCCCAGACUUUUCAUUUCUUGGUAUUGUCAAGGACAUUGGUGACCCUGACAAAGUCAGAACUAUAGCAGGACCGGAGGCCAGACACAGAACCUGGAGAAUGAAAGAAGCUACAGAAAGAAGCUGGCUGGUGGCACAGUCUUGGGGAAGCUUGGUGAGAUGGCACAAAAAAAUUUGGAAGGCUAAUCAAGAAGCAUCCAGGAGGACUUGCUGCGUCUUUACAGGUUACAAGAAUGUUGUGGAAUCGAUAGGCAGAAGGUUUGGGGGAGCCAAAGCAGGAAGUGACAACAAUUAGCCCUCACUAGCACUCACUAUGAGCCAGGCCAGUGUCAUGCUGUCUCUGUGGCUUUUCUCAUCCCUUCCUUCCAUCUGCUCCCCGUGGGAAGGCCAAAACAGCCCUGAGCUUAAAGUCUCCGAACACAUGGUUAGGUGAUCCUAUCGUACUGUGGCUUCUUCUUUUCUAAAAUUUAUUUAUUUUUACUUUUAUGUGCAGUGGUGUUUUGCCAUGGAUGUCGGGUCCCCUGGAACUGGAAUUACAGACAGGUGUGAGCAGUCAUGUGGGUGCUGGGAAUUGAACCCAGGUCCUCCAGAAGAGCAGUCAGUGCUCUUGACCACUGAGCCAUCUCUGCAGUCCUGGCUGUUAGUGUCUUAACAGGAAGGAACUCUGGUUGAAGAACCAGGACUGGGCAAUGGAAAUAGGCUCUGCAAAUGCACCUGGCAUCCUCAGGUAUGGCUGACAGGACUUGAGGGCUGCGGACGUGAAGGGUGAGAGAAGCCUGUCUCCUCUGGGGGUGUCUGCUUUUGGCAGCCUGAGCACAAAACACCUUACACGGGGGCUGGAGACAUGGCUCAGUGGUUAAGACUACUGACUAUUCUUCCAGAGGACCCUGGUUCGAUUCCCAGCACCCACAUGGCAGCUAGCAUCUGACUAUAGCUCCAGUUCCAAGGCAUCUGGCACCCUUACACAGACAUACUUGUAGGAAAAACACCAAUGCAUACAAUAAAUAAAUAAAGUUACAUAAAAAAAAAAACACCUUGCACAUAGAAUUCUCAGGUGCUUCACAAAAUGUCCCUGGAUCCUGGCUUCUGGAAUUUAAACCUUAGCCUGCCUUUUAGCCAGGGCAAGCGCCAUAACCUUUCAUUGUUCCUCAGCACAAGGCACUGUAGCAAAACUACCCUGUGGGCUGUUUGAGGAUUAAACGAAACAUUACUUGGGAGCUGCACAAACACGCCAGAGUGUCCUAUAAAUACCUGCGAUUGCUGCUGCUGUCCCACGUAAUCCUGCCCACCAGGGAAGAUUGUAUCUCCAUUCUACAGGAAGCUAAGGCUUGGCAUGGUUGAUAACCGUCCUAGUAGCGUGGCUGGUGUGGGGUGUCGGCCGCAGCAUCUCCAGGAACGCUUCCUCCACCCUCCCCACCCACCCACUGUUCUGCAACAUGAAGGAGCAUAGUAGAAAUGAAGAAAAUGUCUUCGGUUUUAGAAUUGACCCAGUUGGAAUGAUAAAUUGCAUAUUCAGCCUACUUAGAGGAGGAGGAAAUGUAGACAAAAAUACCACAGAAAGGACAAGUAGGAACUGGUCCACUUGGACCAGGUGUGGCACUGAUGAGCUUGAGAAGAGUGGAAAAGAGAAUGAGAUGUGUCUAACCUUUGGAUGUUGGAACAUCACGUUGUCUACGGAACUCAUGCUCAGAAACCACAUAACCAAGUCUCAUGUCCUCCCCGUCAUACUUUAAGUUCAUGAUUUUGUGUUCAGCUGCAACCGCAGCUGCCUUGCUGGGCACAGCUCACUGGGUCACGCUGAAGUCUGAACAAACGGUGAUAGAGGUAAGAAACGUGCCCGAGUCUUCACGGAAGCCCAGCUGGAGCCAAUGGAGAGGGCGACUCCGGGAGUAUCACAGCUUCCUAGCUCCAUUCAGGGUGGAAGGGAUUUUGAGUGUAUCCAGACUGGACGAGAAGAAAGCCACCAGAUAGAGACACUGACAGACAAUGGGGAACCCUGUGAUGAAUCAAGGUCUUUGGAGAGUCAGGAAGGAGAGCAACAUUCCAGACAGAAGGAGAAGAGCCUAGAAAUGAUGCUGACAAUUUAGGAAAAGUUACCAUAAAUUAAUCAGUUGGUGGGUUUCUGGUGACAGAGGUGGUCAAUGGUGUCUGGUGACAGAGGUGGUAUUAGCCCUCCUUGGUCCACAGAUGCAUGGUUAUGCAGAUUUGUUAGAAGGUCCUAGGCCACUAUGAGGAAGUCCUGCUCCUUGGAGCACACCCCUGGGGCUCAGCUUCUCUAGAAUCUAUUCAGUCUAGUUCCCCAGUCUAAUCAGUAACUCUUAAAAUAGCCAGCAUGGCUGCCCUUCAUUUUCAGAGCAAGCCACCGUGGCAUCACGGGAAAGUUCGAGGGCACAAGCCACCACCACACACUGGCUAAUGGCAUCGGUGUAAGCUGCUGGAGUCCUGUGCCCCCUCACCUCGUCCUUCCCAACCUGCCUACCUGCCCGUGUGCUAACCAAAGCCUGGGUUUGCCCCACCUCCUCCACGGCCUCUUGAUGAGUCUGUUGCCUAUGCAUCCCAAUUCUUCUCUACAUAAUUAUCCGAGUUUUCUAGGUUCUAACAGCAUCAUGGUAGUCUCAAGGUUAAAAAACGCUAGAAAGAUUUACAGGAGGGGCAUCCAGCAACUGGGAAGCAGAUUUAGUUUACAUCGCAAGUUCUAGGCUAACCAGGGUGUGUUGCAAGACCCUCGCUCAAAAACAAGCAAGAAUUAGUGGGAUAGCUCAGCCCUCAGUCAACCUGAUGACCCAAAGUCAAACCCAGGGCCCCACGUGGUGGAAGGAGAGAACUGAUUUCUUCAAUUUGUCCUUAGACCUCCACACCUGAGUCACAGGAUGCCAGCACCCCUACACCCCCAUACAUGGAGCCGGUGGAGAUGCGCCCACCUGUGCACUGAAUAAAUAGAUAAAAUGUAACAAAAAGUUUUCAAAGCAAGAAAACUAACAAAAAUCAAAACAAGCCAACAAACUACAGGAACUAAAAGGAGAAACAGUAAGAAUUCAUUAGUGAUAAAAGAAUUUAGUUGAAGAUUUCCAGUGUGUGAGCAAAAAAUAGAUGCACACAUAUGCAUGCGUGGGCAAAUCAUGAAAGGCUUGCUAAAAUAUAGAAAUGAUACCGUGGAACUAGAGUGUAUCCUUUCCUCUAAAAAUAGAGAAUGCAAGUGCCUGGGAACCAUUUGCUAAAUUGGCCACACUUUGGGCUGUAAUGAAGUCCUUAAUGGCCAGAGAGAUGGCUCAGUGGUUAAGAGUACUGGCUGCUCUUCCAGAGGACCCGGGUUCAGUUCCCAGUUCUCGCAUGGCAGCUCACAACUGUCUGUAACACCAAUUCCAGGAGAUCUGACACUUUCACAGACAUACAAGCAGGCAAAACACCAAUGCACAUGGAAAAGAGAAAGGAAACCCUUAAUAGAUUCCAAAAAGGAGACAAUAUACUCUUCUCUGGUUAUAAAGGAGCAAGGCUAGUGAAACAGGCCUGUGUUAGCACUCUGUGAGGCAGAUCCCGAGUUUAAGGUCAGCUAGGGCUGUGGUGGGGAUGUCUUCUGUAUAUGUUUCUCUUAUUGGUUGAUGAAUAAAACAUUGUGGCCGAUGAGGCAGGAGGUACAGGCAGGGCUAGGAGACAAGGGGAAUUCUGGGAAGUUUAGGCAGAGAGGAGACACCAUGUGAGACCAGGAAGGUAGGACUCACCAGGCGUUCUCCGGUAAGGUAAGACCACGUGGAGAUACUUAGAUUAAUAGAAAUGGGUUACUAAUUAAGACAGAGCUAGCCAAUAAGAAGCCCUAGUCAUCGGCCAACAGUUUCAUAAUUAAUAUAGCGCUGUGUGUUUAUUUGGGGCUCAAGGGUAACAGGACCCUGAUGGGCCAAAAAACUCAUGCUUACAGGGAUGGCUACACAGAUUACCUCAAACAAAACAAAAUAUAACAUAAUCCUCUUAUUUGUUUUUGAGACUCAUCUCAACUGUCCCCCCCUCUUUGGUGAGACCCAGAAUUAUUAGCCCGAAUUCCCCCUUAGCACCCGCCUUUGGAACCCUUCUGAUGAUAACACAGCUUCACUGAAGGCCUGAGCCAUGUCCUCUGGGACAGCAAUUUCUACUCCAUUGACAACAGACCCUUAAGUUCCCCACCCCUUUUCCUUCUGCCUCAGAAGUUGGGUGGCUUCCCUGAAAGACCCCCGGAGGCUCAGGUCCCCAGGAUCUCGGUUCAGGACAACCCCAAUCACCAGGCAGAGGCGGAAACUUGAUGCAAACAGCACAAGGCUUUAUUGUAGUUGUUUAACUAGCUAACCCCAUGUUAGCUCGGGCCUUUCAUCCAUUCACCAUGGUGGAUGACGGUG
ensembl:lncRNA